UACGGAGGAUCCGAGCGUUAUCCGGAUUUAUUGGGUUUAAAGGGUGCGCAGGCGGAAUAUUAAGUCGGCGGUGAAAGUUUGCAGAUUAACUGUAAAAUUGACGUUGAUACUGGUAUUCUUGAGUGUAUAUGAAGUAGGCGGAAUUUGUAGUGUAGCGGUGAAAUGCAUAGAUAUUACAAGGAACUCCGAUUGCGAAGGCAGCUUACUAAAUUACAACUGACGCUUAGGCACGAAGGCGUGGGUAUCAAACAGGAUUAGAUACCCCUGUAGUCCCU
rnacentral:rRNA from 1 species